UGCCAUAGUGGAAGAGUCAUUGUCACAGAGCUAACUAUUGCAAGGGUUCGUCCAACUGUUGCAAUAAAUAGCUCUAUGGCGACAGUUGCUUUAGAAAUAUGUCACUAGCAACAGUUUCCCAAAUCCUCUUAUUUUUCCUCUUCUAAUUUUCUAACAAUGCCACCUUUUCUAAAUAAUAUAUUUAUUGUUUUAUUUUUCCCUCAAACUAAGAAUGCAACAGAAUUUCUAAGCCUUAGUUUUCUUCUGCAUCUUAACAAAAAUCCCAGUAAAGCUUCAUCAUCACUGACACCUCCAAGCUGCCUAACCUCCCAAAAAUCUUUUUGGUAAAGCUCUCUUAGCUCCAAACACCUCAAUUUUGCCCUAUGGCACUGUAAGAUGAUCCAUUUUCUUCUAAAUUGGCUAUAAUUAGGUUAAGAUCUUUUUGUUUUUAUAUAGUUGUAUUGGUAAAAGGAUUUUGAAUACCCAAGUAUCUUUUAUUUUGUUGAACAAAUUUUGAUGUUGCAUAAAAGGGUUCUGUAUAACCUAGGUUUUCUUUGUUAUAUUGAACAUAUUUUGAUAUUCUAAUAGGGGAAUUUCUUGUUUAUUGGUGUUAAAUGUUAUGUUUAUUCGAAAAUGUGUGGCACCUCAACUACUCGACAAAAUGCCUACCCAUUAAUGGCUAGUAGGUUUAUUCUAUUUAUCUUCUUUGUUACAAGAAUUAGUAACUACUAAUGUCCUAUAUCUCUUUUUUCCCUUUAUUUUGUUUCAACUUUCUUUGUUCCUUACUAACUUUAUAUUUAAUUGUAUCAUGAAGAUGUGGUAAUGGUUCUUUGGUCGUUGCUGUAGUAAUUUUAGCAGUGGCUCUUUCUAAGUUUAUAUUCAUAUCUUUGACAUUGUAUGAUUUUGUGGCAACAUCAGAGAUAAGAAUUGGUUGAUUUCUGCUGGAACUUAAGACAUUCUAGAAUCUUUUCUUUUUAAAAAUUUGCAAACUUAUGUAUGCUAGCUAUUGAAUUGUCAAACAAUAUUGUAUAUUUUAUUUUUAUAGAUAUUGAUAGUUUGAUAUUUUGAGUUACUUGUUUUUGAAUCGUUUACAUUCAUGAUUUAUAUAAAUUUUAGUGCAUUAUAUAUUUUUAUAUGAGUAAAUAAUAUAUAUAUAGAUAUUUAAAGCUAGGUAUAGAUGAGGCAAAGUGGCACAGCUCUUAGGCCAUGAUUCAUAUUUUUCUAUUUUCUCAAAGUUUUACAAUUUUUUUUUGUCUUUUUCUUCUUUAUUCCUAUCAUUAUCAUUCAAUAAACUUAUUUUACUAAUAGGUCAAUAAAGUCUUAUUAAUUUGUUGAAAUGGUACAAUCAUUACUGAUUCUUCUAUUUAUUUUAUGGUAUGAAACAAAUCAUAGAUUACUCAAUUAAUGAAGGGUGUAUUCAUCGAUGCAUUUCAUGUGAAUCAUUGUAAAUCAUGGUAACUCUUCCUUUUGUUUUCUAUUGUGCAUGCGAAGUCACGAAAAUGAGGCCAACACUCUCUUCCUUCAUUGGUAUAUGGUUAAAAAACUCCAUAAGUUAUAUUUUUUUAAAAUCAAUUAUAGCCACAAGGGGCUGAUUUUAUAUAAAGCAAAAUAUAAAAGUCCAAGAUGCAAAGAAAAAAGGGGGGGGGGGGAUGGGGAAGGUACAAAAACAAAGUUACAUUUGUAUGAAUUAAGAAAGUUACUCCUAAGUCCUUAAAUAUCGGUUCAUAUCUCAUCUUUGUUGUUGACGGCUGGCCGUCGUUCAUCUCUCUAAUGGUGGAUGACCCUCCUCUCAGUCUCUUUUGCUUCAUAUCCUUAAUCCUUAGCUGAGUAAAGGUAUGUUCUUGUAUUUUCAUCACUUAUUUGUUCCAUCAAUGUUCUGAAUCUGCAAUCGUUUGCUCGUCUCUUCAUGUUCGAUGUUGGUGGUGUUUGCUUGAGCUGAAUCCUUUCUUGUUUUUUAUCCUAUUGAGCAUGUGGAGCUUCUUGCAUGAGGUUGUGGUGUUGUGUCCAUCUCAGCUAUUGCACAAAAUCUCCAACAAGGUUCCGAUCUCUGCUCCGGUCGGUGUUGUUGAUUCCACCUCUCUAGGUAUUCAAGGUCCCGAGAGGCUAAGUUGUGAAAAUGUUUUGUGAAAAUUAAGCAAAAAGAAGUCAAAAAGACAUAGAAGAGUGGAAAUAACUGAAAGCACCAUUCAACCAGAAGAAACACGGACCGUGGAUCAUUCCAAGACCCAUGAAACUUAACAUAAAGCCGUUCCAGUGACUCAUAUGGAGGAAGGUGAUUCCACAACGGCAUUCCACGGAUCAUGAAAUAUAUUUCACGGUCCAUUAAACGAUAGCGUCAAAAUUAUCCUGAUUUUAGAAGAGUUGCAAUUCCAUGGUAGAUGAAAAAGUCUCACGGUCUGUGAAAUAUUUCCCGGUCCGUGAAAAGUUCUGUCGGGCCAGAUCCGUUAUUUGAUUUUUGAGCGAAUUGGCC